GAUGAACGCUGGCGGCGUGCUUAACACAUGCAAGUCGAACGAUGAAGCCCAGCUUGCUGGGUGGAUUAGUGGCGAACGGGUGAGUAACACGUGAGUAACCUGCCCUUAACUCUGGGAUAAGCCUGGGAAACUGGGUCUAAUACCGGAUAGGAGCGUCCACCGCAUGGGGGGUGUUGGAAAGAUUUAUCGGUUUUGGAUGGACUCGCGGCCUAUCAGCUUGUUGGUGAGGUAAUGGCUCACCAAGGCGACGACGGGUAGCCGGCCUGGGAGGGUGACCGGCCACACUGGGACUGAGACACGGCCCAGACUCCUACGGGAGGCAGCAGUGGGGAAUAUUGCACAAUGGGCGCAAGCCUGGUGCAGCGACGCCGCGUGGGGGAUGACGGCCUUCGGGUUGUAAACCUCUUUCAGUAGGGAAGAAGCGAAAGUGACGGUACCUGCAGAAGAAGCACCGGCUAACUACGUG
rnacentral:rRNA from 1 species